CAAUAGUAACACCAUCGAUUCUCUAUAAUGGUGUUGUCGGAACGCCAAGCGGUGUUCUUCACUAUCCUUUGUGCGUUCUCUUCCCUCCCCGCUGCAUCAGUAACAAAUUGGCCAGUGAAGAGUGCGGAAGCAAUGUUACGCAAUUUUUUGCGCUUUAUCUCAUUUGUUUAUUGUGUUAAUUAGUGCAUUUUUAGAAAGUAUUUUAUUUACUGAUAAUUUGAUUAUAUUUUCGUGACAGAAGUGUUUUCUCUUUCGUGUCAAUUUGGGUUUUCCAGUGGAAAUUGCGCAGGGAUUUCUAGGUGAGUGUGCCCUAUGAUUAAUAAUUUAUAUCAGAAAAUUUCCUCUCAGUAGAUCUCCAAGAUUCCAAUUAUUUAUUUAAAAUAGGGUUAAUGCAUUUUUACUGACAUAUCUUUUGAAAAAUUUCAAUCCAAACUGGGCGAAUGGCGAAUAAGGCAAGAGUCUAAAAAGGGCAGUUCGGAAGAUGUCUCAGGAAAUGUGCAAGUAUCAUGAUCAACGAAAUUGAAAAAGAACAAGAUUUUUACCAUCAUCAUAAUCAUCGUCAUUUUCAACCGCUUAUCCCUUUGAGGUCGUGGAGAAUUUUACCGAGAUGGGAAACUGUUUUAACCUGAAGACAAAAAAUGGUUUAAGGAAAAUUUCCAGCCGUAUGAACAAGUAGAGAAGACAUGGAAUGGAGAGCCAUACUUCAACAACGAUGUCCACAUGGGAAAAAAAUGUUUCUCUGUUGCUGAAUUGAAAGAUGAGUGGCCGAUUUUGGCCACGUCAUACGCUCACAAAUUGAUUAAUUUUGAUUUUGAGGAGUUCUAUGCUGAUUGCAAGCCUCUCGUGAAUUGGGAAAAGAUUUCUCAAUAUAAUAAUUUCCCAGUUGAAAAUUUCCGAAGAGGAAUACAACCCCACUAACCCAGGUAAAUGAUUAAAAAAAUGUAGGUUUUCAUGUACUAAAAACUUCUUUCUACAAAAAAAAAUGUAAUUAAAAAAUUAAUGUUAUAUUAUUUAAAGUAAAGCAUAUUGAAGUAUAAAAUAUCACAAAAAUAUCCUCACAAAAAUAUUGUGUGUUGAACAUAAAAUAUCACAAAACAAAAAUAUGACUGAUGUAUAUUAUCACAUUAAAUAAAAUAAAAACUGCGAGGCAUAAUGACUAGCGCACAAUGACUUUUGUUUGUAAACACGUUUUCAAAAUUUCACAUGAGAAUGAGCGAGAUGACUAGAUCUAGAUCUCAUUCACUCUCAUUGAAAUGCUAAAAACAUAUUUACUUAAUAAAAGUUAUUGUGCGUUAGGCACGUUAGGCAUAAGACCGCAGAUAUAAACAAUUCAAACUUUGAAAAAAUAAUUGAAAUAAGAAAAUAUUUUCAACACAAAAAAUAUGUAAUUAAAAUACUUAAAUUAAAGAAAAUUAAUUUUAUAUUAAAUUUAAUAUUGUAAACUCUGUAAUCUGUAUUAAAAAAAUUUAUAAUAAAAAAUUUUAUCAAGGAUACAAAA